rnacentral:rRNA from 1 species
AUUGAACGCUGGCGGCAGGCCUAACACAUGCAAGUCGAGCGGAUGAAGGGAGCUUGCUCCUGGAUUCAGCGGCGGACGGGUGAGUAAUGCCUAGGAAUCUGCCUGGUAGUGGGGGAUAACGUCCGGAAACGGGCGCUAAUACCGCAUACGUCCUGAGGGAGAAAGUGGGGGAUCUUCGGACCUCACGCUAUCAGAUGAGCCUAGGUCGGAUUAGCUAGUUGGUUGGGUAAAGGCCUACCAAGGCCACGAUCCGUAACUGGUCUGAGAGGAUGAUCAGUCACACUGGAACUGAGACACGGUCCAGACUCCUACGGGAGGCAGCAGUGGGGAAUAUUGGACAAUGGGCGAAAGCCUGAUCCAGCCAUGCCGCGUGUGUGAAGAAGGUCUUCGGAUUGUAAAGCACUUUAAGUUGGGAGGAAGGGCAGUAAGUUAAUACCUUGCUGUUUUGACGUUACCAAAAGAAUAAGCACCGGCUAACUUCGUG